rnacentral:lncRNA from 1 species
AGCAGGUGCAGGCCAAGCACAGAGACGGCGGAGUCGGGCAGGACGGCGGCGUUCUCCGAGGCGAGUAGCAGACAGAGAAAAGCAGGCGUUAAGCCCUGAACCUGGAGACACUGCCAGACCUAGGAAGCAGAAACAGGAAGGAGAGCCCUCAAGGGGACAGCCCGAUUGGAGAGCAGUGGGGAGAAUUGAGAAGAGAGAAACAGAGAGGGGGGCGCCUGGGUGGCGCAGUCGGUUGAGCGUCCGACUUCAGCCAGGUCACGAUCUCGCGGUCGGUGAGUUCGAGCCCCGCGUCAGGCUCUGGGCUGAUGGCUCAGAGCCUGGAGCCUGUUUCCGAUUCUGUGUCUCCCUCUCUCUCUGCCCCUCCCCUGUUCAUGCUCUGUCUCUCUCUGUCCCAAAAAUAAAUAAACGUUGAAAAAAAAAAUUUAGAGAAACAGAGAGGGAGGGAGGAAGAGAGAGAUGACCGAUGA